rnacentral:rRNA from 1 species
GAAGCGGCAACAGCUCAAAUUUGAAAUCUGGCGCAAGCCCGAGUUGUAAUUUGUAGAGGAUGCUUCUAGGUAGCGACCGGUCUAAGUUCCUUGGAACAGGACGUCAUAGAGGGUGAGAAUCCCGUAUGUGACCGGCCCGCACCUUCUACGUAGCUCCUUCGACGAGUCGAGUUGUUUGGGAAUGCAGCUCUAAAUGGGAGGUAAAUUUCUUCUAAAGCUAAAUACCGGCCAGAGACCGAUAGCGCACAAGUAGAGUGAUCGAAAGAUGAAAAGCACUUUGGAAAGAGAGUUAAAAAGCACGUGAAAUUGUUGAAAGGGAAGCGCUUACAACCAGACUUCUGGGCGGUGUUCCGCCGGUCUUUUGACCGGUCUACUCGCCGUCCCGAGGCCAACAUCAUCUGGGACCGCUGGAUAAGACCUGAGGAAUGUAGCUCCCCUCGGGGAGUGUUAUAGCCUCUGGUGAUGCAGCGCGUCUCGGGUGAGGUCCGCGCUUCGGCAAGGAUGUUGGCGUAAUGGUUGUCAGCGGCCCGUCUUGAAACACGGACCAAGGAGUCUAACAUCUAUGCGAGUGUUCGGGUGUCAAACCCCUACGCGUAAUGAAAGUGAACGGAGGUGGGAAGGGCAACCUGCACCAUCGACCGAUCCUGAUGUCCUCGGAUGGAUUUGAGUAAGAGCAUAGCUGUUGGGACCCGAAAGAUGGUGAACUAUGCCUGAAUAGGGUGAAGCCAGAGGAAACUCUGGUGGAGGCUCGCAGCGGUUCUGACGUGCAAAUCGAUCGUCAAAUUUGGGUAUAGGGGCGAAAGACUA